rnacentral:rRNA from 1 species
AACGAACGCUGGCGGCGUGGAUAAGACAUGCAAGUCGAGCGAGAUUUUUUUCUGUAGCAAUACAGGGAAAAGUCUAGCGGCGAACGGGUGCUUAACACGUGGGCAAUCUGUCUUAAAGUGGGGGAUAGCUCGGCGAAAGCCGAAUUAAUACCGCAUGUGAUUAGAGUGGACAUCCAUUCAAAAUUAAAGGUGGCGCAAGCUACCGCUUUUUGAGGAGCCCGCGGCCUAUCAGCUUGUUGGUGAGGUAACGGCUCACCAAGGCUUUGACGGGUAGCUGGUCUGAGAGGACGACCAGCCACACUGGGACUGAGACACGGCCCAGACACCUACGGGUGGCAGCAGUCGAGAAUUUUUCUCAAUGGGGGAAACCCUGAAGGAGCGACGCCGCGUGGAGGAUGAAGGUCUUCGGAUUGUAAACUCCUGUCAUUGGGGAACAAGGUGCAUACGUUAACUGCGUGUGCAUUGAUAGUACCCGAAGAGGAAGAGACGGCUAACUCUGUGCCAGCCGCCGCCGUAACAC